rnacentral:rRNA from 1 species
UUUAAAGUCUGACCUGCCCAAUGAAUUUUAAAUGGCCGCGGUAUUUUGACCGUGCAAAGGUAGCAUAAUAAUUAGUUUUUUAAUUGAAAGCUGGAAUGAAAGGUUGGACGAGAAAAUAGCUGUCUCAAUUUAAUUUUAAUUAUAAUUUUAUUUUUAAGUAAAAAAGCUUAAAUAUUUUUAAAAGACGAGAAGACCCUAUAGAGCUUUAUAUAUUUAAAUUUAAUAGUAUUUUAGGUUAUUUUUAAAUUUUAUUUUUAAAUGUAUUUUAUUGGGGUGAUAGAAAAAUUUAAUUAACUUUUUUUAAUAAUUAAACAUUAAUUUAUGAUUAAUUGAUCCAUUAUUUAUGAUUAUAAGAUUAAGUUACCUUAGGGAUAACAGCGUAAUUUUUUUUUAGAGUUCUUAUCGAAAGAAAAGGUUGCGACCUCGAUGUUGGAUUAAAAUUAAUAUUUGGUGUAGAAGCUAAAUUAUUAGGUCUGUUCGACCUUUAAAAUUUUACA